GCUCAAAUUUGAAAGCUGGCGUCCUACGGGCGUCCGCAUUGUAAUCUAUAGAGGCGUUUUCUGUGCUGGACCGUGUCCAAGUCCCUUGGAACAGGGUAUCAAAGAGGGUGACAAUCCCGUACUUGACACGACAACCAGUGCUCUGUGAUACGUCUUCUACGAGUCGAGUUGUUUGGGAAUGCAGCUCAAAAUGGGUGGUGAAUUCCAUCUAAAGCUAAAUAUUGGCGAGAGACCGAUAGCGAACAAGUACCGUGAGGGAAAGAUGAAAAGCACUUUGGAAAGAGAGUUAAACAGUAUGUGAAAUUGUUGAAAGGGAAACGAUGGAGGUCAGUCGUGUCUGUGGGAUUCAGCCGUCUCUGGCGGUGUACUUCCCACAGACGGGUCAACAUCAGUUUUGGCUGGCGGAUAAAGGCAGGAGGAAGGUGGCACCCCCGGGUGUGUUAUAGCCUCUUGUUGCAUACGCUGGCUGAGACUGAGGAAUGCAGCUCGCCUUUAUGGCCGGGGUCGCCCACGUCGAGCUUA
rnacentral:rRNA from 1 species